rnacentral:rRNA from 1 species
CCUACGGGAGGCAGCAGUGAGGAAUAUUGGUCAAUGGGCGGAAGCCUGAACCAGCCAAGUAGCGUGCAGGAUGACGGCCCUACGGGUUGUAAACUGCUUUUAUACGGGAAUAACGCGCGUUACGUGUUGUGCUUUGCAUGUACCGUAUGAAUAAGGAACGGCUAAUUCCGUGCCAGCAGCCGCGGUAAUACGGAGGGUCCGGGCGUUAUCCGGAUUUAUUGGGUUUAAAGGGAGCGUAGGCGGCAUGUCAAGCGUGCCGUGAAAUGGCCGGGCUCAACCCUGGCCUUGCGGCGGGAACUGGCUGGCUUGAGUCCGCGGAAGGCAUGCGGAAUUCGUGGUGUAGCGGUGAAAUGCUUAGAUAUGACGAAGAACCCCGAUUGCGAAGGCAGCAUGCUGCAGCGGAACUGACGCUGAGGCUCGAAAGCGCGGGUAUCGAACAGGAUUAGAUACCCGGGUAGUC